rnacentral:rRNA from 1 species
GGGUUGUGAGGUUAAGCGACUAAGCGUACACGGUGGAUGCCCUGGCAGUCAGAGGCGAUGAAGGACGUGCUAAUCUGCGAAAAGCGUCGGUAAGGUGAUAUGAACCGUUAUAACCGGCGAUGUCCGAAUGGGGAAACCCAGUGUGAUUCGUCACACUAUCGUUAACUGAAUACAUAGGUUAACGAGGCGAACCGGGGGAACUGAAACAUCUAAGUACCCCGAGGAAAAGAAAUCAACCGAGAUUCCCCCAGUAGCGGCGAGCGAACGGGGAGCAGCCCAGAGUCUGAAUCAGCUUGUGUGUUAGUGGAACGGUCUGGAAAGUCCGACGGUACAGGGUGAUAGUCCCGUACACCAAAAUGCACAGGUUGUGAACUCGAAGAGUAGGGCGGGACACGUGGUAUCCUGUCUGAAUAUGGGGGGACCAUCCUCCAAGGCUAAAUACUCCUGACUGACCGAUAGUGAACCAGUACCGUGAGGGAAAGGCGAAAAGAACCCCGGCGAGGGGAGUGAAAAAGAACCUGAAACCGUGUACGUACAAGCAGUGGGAGCACCUUCGGGUGUGACUGCGUACCUUUUGUAUAAUGGGUCAGCGACUUAUAUUCUGUAGCAAGGUUAACCGUAUAGGGGAGCCGCAGGGAAACCGAGUCUUAACUGGGCGUUAAGUUGCAGGGUAUAGACCCGAAACCCGGUGAUCUAGCCAUGGGCAGGUUGAAGGUUGGGUAACACUAACUGGAGGACCGAACCGACUAAUGUUGAAAAAUUAGCGGAUGACUUGUGGCUGGGGGUGAAAGGCCAAUCAAACCGGGAGAUAGCUGGUUCUCCCCGAAAGCUAUUUAGGUAGCGCCUCGUGAAUUCAUCUUCGGGGGUAGAGCACUGUUUCGGCUAGGGGGUCAUCCCGACUUACCAACCCGAUGCAAACUACGAAUACCGAAGAAUGUUAUCACGGGAGACACACGGCGGGUGCUAACGUCCGUCGUGAAGAGGGAAACAACCCAGACCGCCAGCUAAGGUCCCAAAGUCAUGGUUAAGUGGGAAACGAUGUGGGAAGGCACAGACAGCCAGGAUGUUGGCUUAGAAGCAGCCAUCAUUUAAAGAAAGCGUAAUAGCUCACUGGUCGAGUCGGCCUGCGCGGAAGAUGUAACGGGGCUAAACCAUGCACCGAAGCUGCGGCAGCGACACUAUGUGUUGUUGGGUAGGGGAGCGUUCUGUAAGCCUGCGAAGGUGACCUGUGAGGGUUGCUGGAGGUAUCAGAAGUGCGAAUGCUGACAUAAGUAACGAUAAAGCGGGUGAAAAGCCCGCUCGCCGGAAGACCAAGGGUUCCUGUCCAACGUUAAUCGGGGCAGGGUGAGUCGACCCCUAAGGCGAGGCCGAAAGGCGUAGUCGAUGGGAAACAGGUUAAUAUUCCUGUACUUGGUGUUACUGCGAAGGGGGGACGGAGAAGGCUAUGUUAGCCGGGCGACGGUUGUCCCGGUUUAAGCAUGUAGGCUGGUUAUCCAGGCAAAUCCGGAUAAUCAAGGCUGAGGUGUGAUGACGAGGCACUACGGUGCUGAAGUAACAAAUGCCCUGCUUCCAGGAAAAGCCUCUAAGCAUCAGGUAACAUCAAAUCGUACCCCAAACCGACACAGGUGGUCAGGUAGAGAAUACCAAGGCGCUUGAGAGAACUCGGGUGAAGGAACUAGGCAAAAUGGUGCCGUAACUUCGGGAGAAGGCACGCUGGUGUGUAGGUGAAGCCCCUGCGGGUGGAGCUGAGACCAGUCGAAGAUACCAGCUGGCUGCAACUGUUUAUUAAAAACACAGCACUGUGCAAACACGAAAGUGGACGUAUACGGUGUGACGCCUGCCCGGUGCCGGAAGGUUAAUUGAUGGGGUUAUCCGUAAGGAGAAGCUCUUGAUCGAAGCCCCGGUAAACGGCGGCCGUAACUAUAACGGUCCUAAGGUAGCGAAAUUCCUUGUCGGGUAAGUUCCGACCUGCACGAAUGGCGUAAUGAUGGCCAGGCUGUCUCCACCCGAGACUCAGUGAAAUUGAACUCGCUGUGAAGAUGCAGUGUACCCGCGGCAAGACGGAAAGACCCCGUGAACCUUUACUAUAGCUUGACACUGAACAUUGAGCCUUGAUGUGUAGGAUAGGUGGGAGGCUUUGAAGCGUGGACGCCAGUCUGCGUGGAGCCAACCUUGAAAUACCACCCUUUAAUGUUUGAUGUUCUAACGUUGGCCCCUGACCGGGGUUGCGGACAGUGUCUGGUGGGUAGUUUGACUGGGGCGGUCUCCUCCCAAAGCGUAACGGAGGAGCACGAAGGUUAGCUAAUCCUGGUCGGACAUCAGGAGGUUAGUGCAAUGGCAUAAGCUAGCUUGACUGCGAGCGUGACGGCGCGAGCAGGUGCGAAAGCAGGUCAUAGUGAUCCGGUGGUUCUGAAUGGAAGGGCCAUCGCUCAACGGAUAAAAGGUACUCCGGGGAUAACAGGCUGAUACCGCCCAAGAGUUCAUAUCGACGGCGGUGUUUGGCACCUCGAUGUCGGCUCAUCACAUCCUGGGGCUGAAGUAGGUCCCAAGGGUAUGGCUGUUCGCCAUUUAAAGUGGUACGCGAGCUGGGUUUAGAACGUCGUGAGACAGUUCGGUCCCUAUCUGCCGUGGGCGCUGGAGAAUUGAGGGGGGCUGCUCCUAGUACGAGAGGACCGGAGUGGACGCAUCACUGGUGUUCGGGUUGUCAUGCCAAUGGCACUGCCCGGUAGCUAAAUGCGGAAGAGAUAAGUGCUGAAAGCAUCUAAGCACGAAACUUGCCCCGAGAUGAGUUCUCCCUGAGACUUUAAGUCUCCUGAAGGAACGUUAAAGACGAUGACGUUGAUAGGCCGGGUGUGUAAGCGCAGCGAUGCGUUGAGCUAACCGGUACUAAUGAACCGUGAGGCUUAACCUUACAACGCCGAAG